CUCACAAGUGAAGAGCAAAUAGGAUAUUGCUCAAUAUAUUUAGGCGUAUAUUGAGCAAUAUCCUAUUUGCUCUUCACUUGUGAGUAUACCUCCAU